AGUACCUCAUAAGAUGAAGGCCUUUACUAAUAUUCUAAUCAUUCUCCUUAUUUUCUCCAUUGGCAUUGGGAAUGAAAGGCUAAUGAAAAUAACAGAGGCAGCCUCAAAGCCUUGUACAGCGACACUUGACAGUGUAGUUAUAUGUGUAUUUACUUGGCGGUGCAUACAAGCUUGCAAAAGCCAUUAUGGAAGGCUAGCAAGUGGAUCUUGCAUUGGUGGCCUAUGUGUUUGUCAGUAUCCACCUCCAUGUCACAAUUUGUAGUCCAUCUUUGCAAUAUUUUUUCCCUUUGAAUAAAUCUUCCAAUGCAAUAAUGGAAAAUGAAAAGGUUAAUAUAUAUAAAUAGAUCAUGUUUUUAUGAA